AUACGUAGGGUGCAAGCGUUAAUCGGAAUUACUGGGCGUAAAGCGUGCGCAGGCGGUUUUGUAAGACAGUGGUGAAAUCCCCGGGCUCAACCUGGGAACUGCCAUUGUGACUGCAAGGCUGGAGUGCGGCAGCGGGGGAUGGAAUUCCGCGUGUAGCAGUGAAAUGCGUAGAUAUGCGGAGGAACACCGAUGGCGAAGGCAAUCCCCUGGGCCUGCACUGACGCUCAUGCACGAAAGCGUGGGGAGCAAACAGGAUUAGAUACCCUGGUAGUCCACGCCCUAAACGAUGUCAACUGGUUGUUGGGGAUUUAUUUUCUCAGUAACGAAGCUAACGCGUGAAGUUGACCGCCUGGGGAGUACGGCCGCAAGGUUAAAACUCAAAGGAAUUGACGGGG
rnacentral:rRNA from 1 species